CCUACGGGGGGCUGCAGUGGGGAAUAUUGGACAAUGGGGCAACCCUGAUCCAGCCAUGCCGCGUGUGUGAAGAAGGCCCUCGGGUUGUAAAGCACUUUCAGUGAGGAAGAACGCCUGGUGGUUAAUACCCAUCAGGAAAGACAUCACUCACAGAAGAAGCACCGGCUAACUCCGUGCCAGCAGCCGCGGUAAUACGGAGGGUGCGAGCGUUAAUCGGAAUUACUGGGCGUAAAGCGCGCGUAGGUGGCUUGAUAAGCCGGUUGUGAAAGCCCCGGGCUCAACCUGGGAACGGCAUCCGGAACUGUCAAGCUAGAGUGCAGGAGAGGAAGGUAGAAUUCCCGGUGUAGCGGUGAAAUGCGUAGAGAUCGGGAGGAAUACCAGUGGCGAAGGCGGCCUUCUGGACUGACACUGACACUGAGGUGCGAAAGCGUGGGUAGCAAACAGGAUUAGAUACCCCGGUAGUC
rnacentral:rRNA from 1 species